rnacentral:misc_RNA from 1 species
GAUGAAGAACGCAGCGAAAUGCGAUAAGUAAUGUGAAUUGCAGAAUCCAGUGAAUCAUCGAAUCUUUGAACGCACAUUGCGCCCCCUGGUAUUCCGGGGGGCAUACCUGUUCGAGCGUCAUUUCACCACUCAAGCCUCGCUUGGUAUUGGGCAACGCGGUCCGCCGCGUGCCUCAAAUCGACCGGCUGGGUCUUCUGUCCCCUAAGCGUUGUGGAAACUAUUCGCUAAAGGGUGUUCGGGAGGCUACGCCGUAAAACAACCCCAUUUCUAAGGUUGACCUCGGAUCAGGUAGGGAUACCCGCUGAACUUAAGCAUAUCAAUAAGCGGAGGA